rnacentral:lncRNA from 1 species
CCAGGAGCCACCAGUGCUCCAUGAUGAGGCUGAGGGACAAAUCCCCCCUGGCUUUGCAAUCAGGGAACAGGCUGGCUGGUAAGUGACUGGAAUGGUGACCUUCCCCUGCCCAACAAAACACAUCUUUGUCAAAGUGGAGCAGAUAAACAGCUUUCCAGCCCCAGCUCAAACACCAAGGAUUUCCUGCCACCAUAAAGCUGUAAUUGCUGAAUUAAUAACAGCAGGGUUUGAAGAGUGACUGCACAGACUCUCUGACCCAGGUCAGAGGCCAUCCAUGCCCUCCAGAGGAGCUCCUGUGCUUCCCUCUUGGAGAUGCAGGGUUACCAGCCAAGACAAGAAGUUUAGAAGUGCUGGCUGUAUCAGAAGGAAGUGGCAGAAGUGGAGUGAGGGAAAAAUGCAUGUCCACAGAUUACAGACAGAAAACCAGAAUAAUUUUGCCAUGUGA